CCUCAUAAGUCUUUACGGAGAAAGCUUUAUGCGCCAAUGGAUGAGCCCGCACUAGAUUAGUUUGUUGGUGGGGUAAUGGCUUACCAAGACAGUGAUCUAUAGCUGAUCUGAGAGGAUGAUCAGCCACAUUGGAACUGAGACACGGUCCAAACUCCUACGGGAGGCAGCAGUAGGGAAUAUUGCACAAUGGAGGAAACUCUGAUGCAGCGAUGCCGCGUGAGUGAAGAAGGCCUUUGGGUUGUAAAGCUCUUUCGUCGGGGAAGAAAAUGACUGUACCCGAAUAAGAAGGUCCGGCUAACUUCGUGCCAGCAGCCGCGGUAAUACGAAGGGACCUAGCGUAGUUCGGAAUUACUGGGCUUAAAGAGUUCGUAGGUGGUUAAAAUAGUUGGUGGUGAAAUCCCAGAGCUUAACUCUGGAACUGCCAUCAAAACUUUUUAGCUAGAGUAUGAUAGAGGAAAGCAGAAUUUCUAGUGUAGAGGUGAAAUUCGUAGAUAUUAGAAAGAAUACCAAUUGCGAAGGCAGCUUUCUGGAUCAUUACUGACACUGAGGAACGAAAGCAUGGGUAGCGAAGAGGAUUAGAUACCCUCGUAGUCCAUGCCGUAAACGAUGUGUGUUAGACGUUGGAAAUUUAUUUUCAGUGUCGCAGCGAAAGCAUUAAACACACCGCCUGGGGAGUACGACC
rnacentral:rRNA from 1 species